AGAGUUUGAUCAUGGCUCAGGACGAACGCUGGCGGCGUGCUUAACACAUGCAAGUCGAACGGUAAGGCCCUUUCGGGGGUACACGAGUGGCGAACGGGUGAGUAACACGUGGGUGAUCUGCCCUGCACUUUGGGAUAAGCCUGGGAAACUGGGUCUAAUACCGGAUAGGACUACGCGAUGCAUGUCGUGUGGUGGAAAGCUUUUGCGGUGUGGGAUGGGCCCGCGGCCUAUCAGCUUGUUGGUGAGGUAACGGCUCACCAAGGCUUCGACGGGUAGCCGGCCUGAGAGGGUGACCGGCCACACUGGGACUGAGACACGGCCCAGACUCCUACGGGAGGCAGCAGUGGGGAAUAUUGGACAAUGGGCGAAAGCCUGAUCCAGCAACGCCGCGUGAGGGAUGACGGCCUUCGGGUUGUAAACCUCUUUCAGUACCGACGAAGCGCCAAUAACGGUGGUGACGGUAGGUACAGAAGAAGGACCGGCCAACUACGUGCCAGCAGCGGCGGUAAUAC
rnacentral:rRNA from 1 species